rnacentral:lncRNA from 1 species
CUCAUAUAAUCUGUGUCACUGAUCUUGAUAACAUUCAGGUGGUUUUCUUUCUCAAAAUUCUUGAUCCAUUUAUUUGCUUGACCUUGAGGAUCAAUCAUUAAUGGCCAACGUCUUGAGUUCUCAACAAUGACCCCAUUGUCUACAGAAAAUACAUCAGUUGGUAAACCAGCAAUAUUCCAGGAUCUUAUUUUUAUUGGGUCACCCAGAGUAUUACUCAAAGAGAAAUUCUCAGAACAAGGGAUAUUUUUCUCCUUGCACAUCCUGCUCC